AUUCCAGCUCCAAUAGCGUAUAUUAAAGUUGUUGCAGUUAAAAAGCUCGUAGUUGGAUGUGUGGUGGCUCGUGCGGUCCAAAAUGUUUUGGUGCUGUGUAGAGCUGCCAUCUUUGGGUCUAAUCUGUGGGGGAUUAGGUUCUUUUGCAGACGAAGCCCAUCGUUUACUGUGAAAAAAUUAGAGUGUUCUAAGCAGGCUUACGCCGUUGAAUAUAUUAGCAUGGAAUAAUAAAACAUGGCUCUGACGCUAUUUUGUUGGUUUGCGUGCCGGAGUAAUGAUUAAUAGGGACCGUUGGGGGUAUUCGUAUUCCAUUGUCAGAGGUGAAAUUCUUGGAUUUCUGGAAGACGAACUACUGCGAAAGCAUUUACCAAGGAUGUU
rnacentral:rRNA from 1 species